rnacentral:lncRNA from 1 species
CAGGUUUCUCUAAAGAUGCAGUGAGAUGAUGGCUGGGGAGCUCCUCUAUCUGCGCCUGGCAGGUUGUGAGCACCUUAAAAGGACUGGCUUUCAUCGUCACUUCCAGGGAUGACAUGGCCGCGCCACUUCCAGCAAUUCUGGACCUUGCCCUGUGGAGCCUGAACAAGCACUUUGUAGGAUGCACUGCACGGAUACCAAAGAGGAGCAUCUAUGUCCUCCUGGAAAUUUGAGUCUGGCUGGAGAGACAAAAGACGGGAAUUCUCAAUCAGGGAGAAUUGAGCAGGGGAGUGAGAAGGGUUCGCUGCAGAUGGGUGGAGAGCAAUCAGCAAAUUCCAGGACUAGAGGAGCACGGGUUGCAUAAAGCUUCUAUUGCUGCUGUCACAAAUCACCACUAACUUUGUGGUUUAAACAACAUCAAGCCAUCUUGUCAACAGAAGUGUUGGCCUGUGGAUGGAGCUGAUGCCCCAAAGAUCGCAGAACACAAAAUGAGAAAGAACUAAGUUCUUUACUUAUGUCUUUGAGCCCCUGGAUUAACCAACCAGCAGCUACCUGAACUCCUAG